rnacentral:rRNA from 1 species
GACGAACGCUGGCGGCGUGCUUAACACAUGCAAGUCGAACGAUGAUGCCCAGCUUGCUGGGCGGAUUAGUGGCGAACGGGUGAGUAACACGUGAGUAACCUGCCCUUGACUUCGGGAUAACUCCGGGAAACCGGGGCUAAUACCGGAUAUGAGCCGUCCUCGCAUGGGGGUGGUUGGAAAGUUUUUCGGUCAGGGAUGGGCUCGCGGCCUAUCAGCUUGUUGGUGGGGUGAUGGCCUACCAAGGCGACGACGGGUAGCCGGCCUGAGAGGGCGACCGGCCACACUGGGACUGAGACACGGCCCAGACUCCUACGGGAGGCAGCAGUGGGGAAUAUUGCACAAUGGGCGAAAGCCUGAUGCAGCGACGCCGCAUGAGGGAUGAAGGCCUUCGGGUUGUAAACCUCUUUCAGCAGGGAAGAAGCGCAAGUGACGGUACCUGCAGAAGAAGCGCCGGCUAACUACGUGCCAGCAGCCGCGGUAAUACGUAGGGCGCAAGCGUUGUCCGGAAUUAUUGGGCGUAAAGAGCUCGUAGGCGGUUUGUCGCGUCUGGUGUGAAAACUCGAGGCUCAACCUCGAGCUUGCAUCGGGUACGGGCAGACUAGAGUGCGGUAGGGGAGACUGGAAUUCCUGGUGUAGCGGUGGAAUGCGCAGAUAUCAGGAGGAACACCGAUGGCGAAGGCAGGUCUCUGGGCCGCAACUGACGCUGAGGAGCGAAAGCAUGGGGAGCGAACAGG